rnacentral:rRNA from 1 species
AUUGAACGCUGGCGGCAUGCCUUACACAUGCAAGUCGAACGGCAGCACGGGUGCUUGCACCUGGUGGCGAGUGGCGAACGGGUGAGUAAUACAUCGGAACGUACCUUAUCGUGGGGGAUAACGCAGCGAAAGCUGUGCUAAUACCGCAUACGCCCCGAGGGGGAAAGCGGGGGAUCGAAAGACCUCGCGCGAUUAGAGCGGCCGAUGCCUGAUUAGCUUGUUGGUGGGGUAAAAGCCCACCAAGGCGACGAUCAGUAGCUGGUCUGAGAGGACGAUCAGACACACUGGGACUGAGACACGGCCCAGACUCCUACGGGAGGCAGCAGUUGGGAAUUUUGGACAAUGGGGGCAACCCUGAUCCAGCAAUGCCGCGUGAGUGAAGAAGGCCUUCGGGUUGUAAAGCUCUUUUGUCAGGGAAGAAACACCGGCUCUAACACAGUCCGGGAAUGACGGUACCUGAAGAAUAAGCACCGGCUACCUACGUGCCAGCCGCCGCGGUAA